rnacentral:misc_RNA from 1 species
AGCGUACCGGCACGCUUCGGUACUCUAGUAUUAUAUCUACGCAGUACGCGUAAUUAAUUAUUCCUCCCUGCCGUGUAACUUUUGAAAAAAAAAUCAGUGAAGUUUUUCUCAUUCAUUUAAAAGAUUCUAUACUUUUUUAAGGUCCGUGGCAAGUGUUGAAGAAAAUUACAAGUGUCUCACUCAAAUAUAUAACGGAGUGAAGAGAAACGACGCCAGCAGUUCUGGGCAACGCACUUCCGAUUCGAGAAAAAUUCUGCGUAUCAGUGGAGCGUCUGUUGCGCGGAUUACAGAGUGAAAUACCUGAACACUGAUA